rnacentral:rRNA from 1 species
CCUACGGGGGGCAGCAGUGAGGAAUAUUGGUCAAUGGCCGGAAGGCUGAACCAGCCAUGCCGCGUGAAGGUCAGUGCCCUAUGGGCGUUAAACUUCUUUUGUGCGGGAGCAAUAAUGGUCACGUGUGGCCAGACGAGAGUACCGUACGAAUAAGCAUCGGCUAACUCCGUGCCAGCAGCCGCGGUAAUACGGGGGAUGCAAGCGUUAUCCGGAUUGAUUGGGUUUAAAGGGUGCGUAGGCUGUGAGGUAAGUCAGCGGUGAAAUGCCCCCGCUCAACGGGGUGAAGUGCCAUUGAUACUGCCUGGCUUGUAUGCGGAUGCCGUGGGUGGAAUGUGUGGUGUAGCGGUGAAAUGCAUAGAUAUCACACAGAACACCGAUUGCGAAGGCAUCUCACGAAUCCGCGAUUGACGCUGAUGCACGAAAGCGUGGGUAUCAAACAGGAUUAGAUACCCGAGUAGUC